CAUUACUAACGUUGUGCAAGAUAGUGGGAGAUUUUGUGUAACUAAGACUUUUAGUUUUUGAUUAAGACUAAUAGUAUUAGCUACACAAAGUCUCUCACUAUCCUGCAUGGCAUUAGC
rnacentral:pre_miRNA from 1 species